rnacentral:rRNA from 1 species
CGGCGGACGGGUGAGUAAUGCUUAGGAAUCUGCCUAUUAGUGGGGGACAACAUUCCGAAAGGAAUGCUAAUACCGCAUACGCCCUACGGGGGAAAGCAGGGGAUCUUCGGACCUUGCGCUAAUAGAUGAGCCUAAGUCAGAUUAGCUAGUUGGUGGGGUAAAGGCCUACCAAGGCGACGAUCUGUAGCGGGUCUGAGAGGAUGAUCCGCCACACUGGGACUGAGACACGGCCCAGACUCCUACGGAAGGCAGCAG